rnacentral:lncRNA from 10 species
AAGACACACACGAGGCUCAGGACAUAUCAGGAACUUGCCUGUGGUCACAAUUAUAGAUCCUACAAGUGAAGAUUUGAGCCCACACAGGCCAGCACCGGAGCUGCCUGGGCCAGGGGCAGUCAUCAAUUUUGAAUUUUUUUCGGCUGAGCACUUAGAUAACCACCGCUUCCAAGAGGCAGAACUUCAUCCUCAUCCUCUAAUGGACUAUGGAAAGAAGAAAAACAGUCCUUUUACAGUGAAGAAACUCAGCAGAUGCUCCCUCAACAUCGCUGGUGGUAAGUCUUGUGGCUACUGGGUACCCCCUGAUACAAUGACAGGGGCACCUCACCUCUGUGAUCUUUUACCCAAAAACUAAUAACCUCAGUCUCAUGAGAAAAACAUCAGACAAACUCAGAUGAGGGGCAUUCUACAAAAUACGUGAGCAGCACUCUUCGAAUGUGUCAAGGUCGUGAAAAACAAGAAAAGACUCAGAACUGUUAGGGACCAGAGGAGCCUCAGGAGAUGACGGAGACUGAAUGCCAUGUGGGAUGCCGGAUGAGAUCAUGGAACAGAAAAAGGGCAUUAGUGGGAAACUGGCGAAAUCCUAAUAGAGUCUGUCGUCCAGCUAAUAAUGUUUUACUAAUGUUAACUUUUUAGUUUUGACAAAUGUAGCAUGAUUAUGUAAGAUGUUCACAUUAGGGGAAGGUGGGGGAAGAGUAUGGGAACUUUGUGGAACUUUGCUGUAAAUCUAAAAUCACUAAACAAAAAUUAUUCAAAAAAUCAGGGUGUAGAUAUUUAUUAGUAUAGAAAUGUAUUCACAACAUAUUAAGGGGAAAGUAUGUAUGGCCUCACAUAGUUUUUGCUGAAUGAGACCGUAUUUGUAAAAACUCUAAUAACAAGGUGUAUGUCUACAUGAAUGUGUAUAUAUGCACAUGUAGGCUGGGCACGGUGGCUCAUGCCUGUAAUCCC